GUCAGGAUGGUCGAGCGGGCUAAGGCUCUGCGAUCAGAUCGCAGGUUACUUCUGUGACCGUGGGUUUGAAUCGCACAUCUGACA